GAUGAACGCUAGCGGCGUGCCUAACACAUGCAAGCCGAGCGGUAGAGCCCCUCUGUUGUCUUGAGCGCGGCGCACGGGUGCGGAAGACGCGCGCAACUUGCCUUUAUCUGGGGGAUAGCUUUUCUAAAGGAACAUUAACACCCCCCAAUUUACAGGUCGGCAUCCACUGGUAUUGAAAAAUCCGGUGGAUAGUGAUGGGUACGCGCACGAUUGGUUAGCUGGUGAGGUAAGGGCUCACCUAGUCAGCGAUCUUUAGGGAGCCUGGGGGUGUGGUCCCCCAGACUGGUACAGGGACACGGGCCAGAGUCAUACGGGAGGCAGCAGUGAGGAAUGUAGGACAAGGGGUGAGUGCCUGAUCGAGCCAAGCCGCGUGAAGGACGACGGCGCGAUGGAUUGUAACCUUCUUUUGUAUAAGGAUAAACCUAGGUACGGGUAUCUAGCUGAAGGUACUGUACGAAGAAGCACCGGCUAACUCCGUG
rnacentral:rRNA from 1 species